GACGAACGCUGGCGGCGUGCUUAACACAUGCAAGUCGAACGGAAAGGCCCUGCUUUUGUGGGGUGCUCGAGUGGCGAACGGGUGAGUAACACGUGAGUAACCUGCCCUUGACUUUGGGAUAACUUCAGGAAACUGGGGCUAAUACCGGAUAGGAUCUCCUGCUGCAUGGUGGGGGUUGGAAAGUUUCGGCGGUUGGGGAUGGACUCGCGGCUAAUCAGCUUGUUGGUGGGGUAGUGGCUUACCAAGGCUUUGACGGGUAGCCGGCCUGAGAGCGUGAACGGCCACAUUGGGACUGAGAUACGGCCCAGUCUCCUACGGGAGGCAGCAGUGGGGAAUCUUGCACAAUGGGCCGAAGCCUGAUGAAGCAACGCCGCGUGCGGGAUGACGGCCUUCGGGUUGUAAACCGCUUUCGCCUGUGACGCAGCGUGAGUGACGGUAAUGGGUAAAGAAGCACCGGCUAACUACGUG
rnacentral:rRNA from 1 species